CACUAAAGACCUGUUUACCACAAUUCUUUUCACCUAGUGCAUCAUGUCCAGCUUUCAACAAAUAAUUACAAGGCAUACUGAAAGGCAAUAAACAGUUUGAAAAGACAGUGCAAGCAUCAGAACCAGACUCGGAGUCAUACUGUUAUCUUUGUGUUCAUGGUUGAGAUACAAGCUCUAGGGCCUUGCUGCUCAAAGUACGAGCCAUUGACCAGCAGCAUCCACAUCAUUGGGAGCUUGCUAGAAACACAGUCUUGCACCUCGCCCCAGACAUCCGGAAUCAGAAUCUGCAGAACAUGCGAACUUAACUGCAAUGAGAUCUGCAAGGGAAUGCACAUUAAAGUUGAUGAAUUCUGUUCUCAGGUGUUAACCUCCCUGCAUUUAGGGCUUAGCUGUCCAGCCCUUCAAGGCAGCUGCUGGAUAAGCCAGAGCCUCUGUGGGUGGACCUAGAGGGGCCACAAUGUCCAGCUCUUUGCCAGUUUUGCAAAGUUUUAUUGGAACAUAGCUGUGCCCGUUAAUUUACAUACUGUCCUCCUCAGUUUAUCCGUAAAACUUAGCCGAAAGGCUCGUUCUGUGUAUUAAAUCAGACAAUGAGUAAAAUGCACAGUGCCUGCCCACUGAUGAGCUCCAAAAACGGGAAGUGACGUUCUUGUGAAUUACACUCUCCUCACUUCGGCUGCUGCUACGAGCACAUCUGAACAGACCAUCCACCUGCCCCUGGCUACCUCCUCCUCUGGGCUCUGUGGAAUACCUGAGGUUCUCACUAUGAACUCAGUCCUUUCGGUUGAGACAUCUGGAUGUCAGGGCACUCACUGUGAAAAAGAAGUUGCCCGGAAGAGAAACCCCCUGAGCCUCUCCCAGCGGCUGGUGUAUCUGAUCAAGUGGGGAUAGCAGGCAAAUGUGAAUUGUGGAGCCAAGGGAAAGCCGAGACAACAGGGCAUUUCCUGGGCCGCCCAGACUGUGAAAAUGCAGGGUGGAAAACUGAGAGGGAGAGAAGAGGGUGGGGGUGCAAAAAUGGACUUCAUAUACUUCAAGGCCUGAUAAUUACCGGACAAGUAUCUCAACGUCCAUGCUCAGCUGACUAUGGCUCUGCAGUGUCAUCUUUCUAUUUCUCACAUCUACGGUACUUCGAGAUGUUUCCACUUCCCAAGUGUGUGUGCUUUACCUGUCUACUUUUUCGCAUAUUGUAGUUGCACUGUUUCACGAAAAAGUUUCCGUCAUCUGUUUUAUUUCUCAUACUAAUUUCAAGUUCUUUCUUACUUUUUCGACAGUUAAGAAAUUCAGCCUUAUAUCCAUCAUUCCACACGUUUGCUCUGAGGCCCAGCUGUAGCCAGUCUGGCCUAGGAAUCUUCAUUUGUAACAAUCUCCUCCCCAAGGGAGUAAUUCAUGCUUUAUUCUAUAUGCAUAAAAGUUUCAAAAUUAUAUCAGUACUAAUGAUAAUAAAUAUAGAGUGAAGUUUUUAAAAAAAGCUCUUCUAGGUCGAAGUAAUUUCCCCAUUUAAGAAAAAUAAAAGAGCCCUCUAGGUUAUGGCUCUCUUAACCA
rnacentral:lncRNA from 1 species